rnacentral:rRNA from 1 species
AACGCUGGCACCAUGCCUAAUACAUGCAUGUCGAGCGGAGUUAGAGAGCUUGCUUUCUAAACUUAGCGGCAAAUGGGUGAGUAACACGUAAGGAACCUGCCUAAGCGACGAGGACAACGGUUGGAAACGACUGCUAAUACUGGAUAGUAUAAGAAACCGCAUGAUUUCUUAUUUAAAGGUCCGUUUGGACCACGCUUAGAUGGCCUUGCGGCGCAUUAGAUAGUUGGUGAGGUAACGGCCCACCAAGUCAAUGAUGCGUAGCUGCACUGAGAGGUGAAACAGCCACACUGGGACUGAGACACGGCCCAGACUCCUACGGGAGGCAGCAGUAGGGAAUUUUCGGCAAUGGGCGAAAGCCUGACCGAGCAAUGGUGCGUGAACGAUGAAAGGUCCUUGGAUCGUAAAGUUCUUUUAUAAGGGAAGAAUACACUAUGUAGGAAAUGACAUAGUGCUGACGGUACCUUUUGAAUAAGCUCCGGCCAACUAUGUGCCAGCAGCGGC